CGAAACACCGGUUCUCGUAUGAUCACCGGAGUUAAGCAACGUCAAGUCUGGUCAGUACCUAGAUAGGUGAUCCCUUAGAAAUACCAUGUGUUGUAAG